AGGAGGUAGCCAACACUGUUUUUAUAUAUAUAUAUAUAUAUAUAUAUAUAUAUAUAUAUAUAUAUAUUUUAAUUGGGGUAGCCCCCAAAAUAUUGGGACAUAUAAAAAAGACAACUCUGUUCCCACAGAGUAGUGUUGACAUUAUAGUUGCGCAGGCACUUUGUUGACUUUAGAGAACCUCGGGCCAAUCGCAUAACCCAGUGACGGCGACUUUGCAUUUGGAUGUCAUCCAUAUCAACUUUUGAUGCCAGUUUCUGCGCCUACCAUGGUGACCACGGGUAACGGGGAAUCAGGGUUCCAUUCCGUAUAGGAUCCCUGAGAAACGGCUACCACAUGCAAGGAAGGCAGCAGGCGCGCAAAUGACCCACUCCCAACGCGGGAAGGUAGUGA